AAAACGCAGCGGACUCGUGUGGUUACGGUCUUCCUCCAGCGUGCGCCUCCGCUCCCGAGUCCCGUGCCUCCGCACGCCCCAAGACCUGUUGCAUGCAGAUAGCUACACGCCCCGGCAGGUACUCCGAAAUAGAGGCCAUAAUGACAGGUAGCACUUCUUGGAUCAUGGCAAGCAGAUGAGACCUAACUUGGGGAUAAAGAGGCACGGGAUGCACACAGAACCUUUAGUCUGCUUUUUUAUGGGGAAGGAUGCUAAGAUGCAGCCAAAGACCUUGAAUCUCCACAACCCCAAACCAAAUGCCAAGUUCCUCUAAUUUCUGUGGAAGACUGCAACCCAGCAAGCAACGCUUGUGCACGAUGCCCAGCCCCAGACAGCACUGGGCAGACCCAAACUGUUUGCACAUCCAGACCUCCUCCCCAGACACAACCAUCCCUGCAGCUUCGUGCUCCCCUUUCAGAUCUCUGACACAUACCAGAGUGUGGAGUUUUUUUGGAAGACUAGACCUGUUCCACUGCCACUUCCUCACCGAAAGGUAUAAUUAGUUGUGCUGCAGGGCGAUACACCUCGUCACUGAUACCACACUGGGUUAUCACCUAGCGAGGAAAUUGGAGCAGCGCUCAAGUGAUGUUUUGUCUGCAAAAACGGCGACCUGUUUAACAAUUUUUCCAGAAAUGCAUUAGGAGAAGCAGCAAAUCUGUUUUCCAGCAUCAGCCAUGCUAAUAACAUGAAUAAACAGAGUACCCUUCAAUGAACAACAAAUCCCUGUGCAUAGAAAGCCAGUGGAAAUAUCCUCUGCAUGGGUCAGCAGGUGGUGAGCAGCUGUAAUCUGCAUCACUUGCUUUGUUUAUUCUUUUUAUUUAUUUUUUACUCAUUUUCUUUCCAUUUUCUUUCCUCCCCUUUGUUAUUAAACUGCCCUUAUCUCAACCCAUGAGCUCUUGUACUUUUCAAUUUUCUCCCCUAUCCCACUUUGGGGAGGGGACAAAGUGAGCAAACGGCUGUGCAGUGUUUCACCUUCUGCUAGAUUAAACCAUGGCACUGGACUCCUCCUGCAGCACAUGGGAGACUUCUCCAUCAGGUAUCAGCCUUUUCCCCUUCAGACUUGGAACAAGGACACGACAUUCAGGCUGAGGCACUUCUGCUGCCUUACAAGCUGGGGAAGAUAGACUUCUUCAGCGAGACAAAGCCUCCUGUACGAGGGCUGCAGCCCCUGCCCAGGCUGCCCAGAGCUGCCCACACGCUUACAGCCUGAUGUAAGAGGAGCUUUAGUUGCAUCUCCUGCCUCGAUGAGUAAGCUUUGUGCUCACACAAGGGAUUACAGAUGAUAAGCGUCUAUUCCUUGCAAGUAGCCUGCAAAUAAGUUGAAUAUCAGAGCCCUUAUUUUUGCAAGAGGGGCAUAUGAAGGCCCCAGGUGAUGGGAAAUGUCACUGCAGGGGUUCCUCCAAGCUCGCAGCACCUUCCCCGUUCUCAGUCCUUUAUUCUCUUGUUUUCCUGAUCAGCUUCUCUGCUCUGCCUCACGCUGGCCCCCACUUUGUGUUUGCAGAGAGCAGGGCUUUGCUGUGGACACAUCCGCAUGCGGGUUCAUCCCUCCCAAGCCAGGGCUCCCGAGGCUUCCCGGGCUGCAGCAGAGCACACAGCCCUUUCAAACACUUCAUUCACGUUGUGUUUGCAGUCUCCAGCACAGAUGGUUCUUCCCUUUGUAAGCGCUAAACACUGGAUUAGAUAUCACAUAUUUAAUAAAUAGCAACAACUGUAUACAAAUCAAAGCAGCUAAAAACUAAUCCUUGGCAAUUAUUCAUUCACAUCA